rnacentral:rRNA from 1 species
UGGGGAAUAUUGCACAAUGGGCGAAAGCCUGAUGCAGCAACGCCGCGUGAGUGAAGAAGGUUUUCGGAUUGUAAAGCUCUGUCAUCUGGGACGAUAAUGACGGUACCAGAUGAGGAAGCCACGGCUAACUACGUGCCAGCAGCCGCGGUAAUACGUAGGUGGCAAGCGUUGUCCGGAAUUACUGGGCGUAAAGGGUGCGCAGGCGGACAUUUAAGUGAGAUGUGAAAUACCCGGGCUUAACUCGGGCAGUGCAUUUCAAACUGGGUGUCUGGAGUGCAGGAGAGGAGAACGGAAUUCCUAGUGUAGCGGUGAAAUGCGUAGAGAUUAGGAAGAACACCAGUGGCGAAGGCGGUUCUCUGGACUGUAACUGACGCUGAGGCACGAAAGCGUGGGUAGCAAACAGGAUUAGAUACCCUGGUAGU